rnacentral:miRNA from 1 species
UUAAAGCUUUGAUGACGGGAUA